UCCUCGCCCAGAUGUUCCACCUGUACAUAAAAAACUCAUGUAAAAUUAAGAUGAAAAUAAAUCGAAACUAAGAUCCAGUAAAAGGAAAUGACUUAUCACAGGAUAGUGAAAUGGCAGGAGGCUUCGGAGUCCGAAAAUAAAACCGAAGGAUGUUUCCUGGCCCCACAAAUUGUAGUGUCUCUCAUUAGCGAACAGACCCAGAAGCAGACAGAGGGGCCUAGGCACUGUCCGUCCCUGCAAUAUGAAGCCAAGAGGUAAAAAAAGAGCAACUGACACUCAACCCACCUUCACUGGACCUCCAAAGCUACACGUACAACAUGCAUAAAUAUAUAACUGCUCUUGAACUCAGAAGACCAGAAUCGCGGAUGAAUCCAUGAAUGUUGGAAAAUAAAUGGAAUCCAAUUGAAUAGAGAACUUAUG